rnacentral:lncRNA from 1 species
UCCUGAGUUAGGAGGAGGAGCCGUAGGGGCUCGGGGGCAAAAUUUAGGACUCAGAAAGCCCAGGAUGUUGGUGCGUUUCAAAUUUGCCAACAGGAAAGGAGUGAGCAGCCCAUCUCAGAAGGGGAGGGAGGAGGUGGAGGGAACGGCCCCAGAAGGUCAAGUGGCCAUGUGGGUGGUUGUUUGUGAAUUCCUCAGCUCAGCCAGAGAGACUCCAGGGAACUUGCUGGCACCUUUCUUUCAAAGGUAGCUCCUCCCAGCAGGGAAUAUGCCGUGAAUAAAUUCCAGGAGAAAAAGCUGUUUGAUGUAUAGGAGGAGCUAGACCUUGCCAGGGGCUGGCUGGAGUUGGAGGGAGGGGGUUAUGGCUUGCUUGGCUGGAAUAAGCAAAGGCAGGAUACCUACUCAAGUGGGACGUCCAAGAGUCACAGAAAUGAAGCCACCCAGUGGGUCAUGAAGGAAAGCCCGUGACAGUGCCUGACACAUGAGAUGGUCAAUUAAUUAAUGCUGGCGCCUUUCCCUUCCAAGCUGUUCCCUACCCGCUGGGGAACUGACAGCUCCUCUAAACUCUCCAGACAGCUCAAGGAAGCCCCUCAUGUGUAUUUUGAACCCUUUUCCUUUUAAAGAGUUUAAAAUCACCUGCCUGGUAAUGGGUGCCAUGCUUAGAAUCUUCCCAACACACAUCAUACCCUCACCUGCUUUUUCAAACCCAAUGCAGACCUGCAAGGAAACAAAAUAUGAUGAUAAAAAAAUGGCUGCUUUGUGUUGGUCCACAGCAGAGAUGUUUUUAGAAAGAUGUUUUAAAAUAGUUUACUGAAUGUACUUAACUGUGCACUUAAAAAUGGUUAAGGUGAUGAAUUUUAGGGUGUGUACAUU